UACGUAGGGUGCGAGCGUUAAUCGGAAUUACUGGGCGUAAAGAGUGCGUAGGCGGUUCUUUGUGUCCGCUGUGAAAGCCCCGGGCUCAACCUGGGAACUGCAUUGGAAACUAACGGGCUCGAGUGUGGCAGAGGGGGGUGGAAUUCCACGUGUAGCAGUGAAAUGCGUAGAGAUGUGGAGGAACACCGAUGGCGAAGGCAGCCCCCUGGGCUAACACUGACGCUCAGGCACGAAAGCGUGGGGAGCAAACAGG
rnacentral:rRNA from 1 species